CUCACCAGGUCAGGACACGGUAAGGAUUGACGGACUGAAGGCUCUUUCUCGAUUCCGUGGAAAGUGGUGCAUGGCCGUUUUUGGUUGGUGGAUCGAUCCGUCUGGUUAAUUCCGUUAACGAACGAGACCUCGGCACUCCGAAUAGCGCGGCGGACGUCGCGGCCUCCGGGCCGUCUUCCGCACGAGCUUCUUAGAGGGACCGUCCCCGCCGGGGAAGGAGGUGCGAGGCAACGACAGGUCUGUGAUGCCCUUAGAUGUUCUGGGCCGCACGCGCAUUACACUGACGCGUCCAACGGGUGACUCCCGACCCGAAGGGGCCGGGGAAUCCGCAAGGCGCGUCGUGAUGGGGAUUGAACGUUGCAAUUGUUGUUCACGAACGAGGAAUUCCUAGUAGGCGCGGGUCAUCAACCCGCGCCGAUUACGU
rnacentral:rRNA from 1 species